CUGUCAAUCUCACAUACACAAGUCUUUCAAGGAUCUUGGAUGCAAAAGGCAGUAGUAAGAUAGGGUGGUAGUUGGACAUGGAGUUAGGGUCAAGGUUGGGCUUUUUUAGAAUUGGGGUUACAGUUGCAUGUUUGAAGGGUAAUGGAAAUAUGCCAGAGGAGAAGGAGAGAUUGAGAAUUUUAGUGAGAGGCAAAAGAAGAGAAGGAGACGGAGUACGGAUGAGAUGAGAGGGAAUAGGAUCAAGGGGAGCAGGUGGUGGGGCGGGAGGACUGGAGCAGAUCAGAAACCUCUUCCACCGUUGGAAGUUAGGUUGGGGCGAAAUAUUGUAAGGGGAAGGAGAGAGAUGAGAGAUCUCUUCCCUGAUUGUAGAGAUCUUGUCCGUAAAGUCAGUUGCAAAGUUUGUGGUUAAGUCUGUAGAAAGAGGAGGAGUAACAGGGCGAAGAAGUGAGUUAAAAGUGUGAAAUAGUCGUUUGGGUUCGCAGGAGAGUGUGGUGAUGAGGGUAUUGAAAUUAUUUACUUUUGAAGAGGAAAGAGCCAAGCUGUAAGAGAGCAGCAUAAAUUUAUAGUGGAGAAAGUCAGAUAUGGAGUGAGACUUUCUCCAGCAGCGUUCAGCAGACAUAAAGUGAUGAUCAUAUGGUAUCCAAGGGAAUAAAGGUGUGAGAAACAAGACAAAUAUAUUUUGCUGCUUUUAACUUGACUGUGUUGCCCCCUGUCACUCUACUUCUUAGGGGACUGUAUGAGGGCUUUUUUUAUUCCUAAUUUCCUUAUACUUUCGGCAGAAAAGAAUACUCUGUGUUCGAGCUGCGACCGGUUUAUUUGGGCUUUUUACCUCUGUAAUCUUUGUUGCCUGUUGGUGCACACUAAGCACCCAAUACGAUAGUUUUGGCAAGAAGAGUGUGGUAUUUUUGGCCACACAAAGUCUUUUAUGAAGUCAACUGCUAAGGCAAUCUGUAUCACAUUAUUUAGAACUGCUGAAAUAAUAAAUCUAUCUGUAAUCCAGUGCCAGCACAGACUCCUCACUGCAGCCCAGUCCAUCCACAGUGAAAUCCUUAAACUUGAUCUCUGUCUAGUCCAAUGCUUCUUAUAGAGAAGCAUUGAGUGCAUACAAGCUAACCAAACCAGGAAGUGACACUAUCUGGAGGAUGUAAUCUUUUGAAAUCUGCAAUAUUUCCAAAAUGAAAAAGAGGUCAUACUCUUCACACAUAAAGCUGCAAGCUGAAGUGCUUUAGGGAUCUGGAGUGUCCCUUUAAGAUGUAGUAGUUAUGGUGUUUACAUUUUGUUUUGUAAAAUACAUACUUUGUAACUUAUCGUAUCGUAUUCCAGGAUGUCAAGGCACUGUCUGCAUACAGUACUUCUAUGGUGCACCGCAUCGCACCUUGAAAGGAAUUUCUGUACUUAUGGGCAUCAUACAAGUGAUGUAAUGAUGAUGCCUCACACCUGG